rnacentral:misc_RNA from 1 species
AACGCACCUUGCGCCCUUUGGCUAUUCCGAAGGGCAUGCCUGUUUGAGUAUCAUGAACACCUCAACUCUCAUGGUUCGCCGUGAUGAGCUUGGACUUUGGGGGUCUUGCUGGCAUACCGUCGGCUCCUCUCAAAUGAAUCAGCUUGCCAGUGUUUGGUGGCGUCACGGGUGUGAUAACUAUCUACGCUCGUGGUCUCCCACCAGGUAACCUUCAGCAAUGGAGGUUCGCUGGAGCUCACAAAUGUCUCUCCUCAGCGAAGACAGCUUUUGAACGUUUGAUCUCAAAUCAGGUAGGACUACCCGCUGAACUUAA